GAGUUUGAUCCUGGCUCAGGAUGAACGCUAGCGGCAGGCCUAAUACAUGCAAGUCGAGGGAGAAGUUGGGUGCUUGCACUUGAUGGGAACCGGCGAACGGGUGCGUAACACGUAUGCAACCUACUUAUAACUGGGGGAUAGCCCGAAGAAAUUCGGAUUAAUACCCUAUAAUAAUUAGAUCUCACAUGGGAUUUACUUUAAAACUCCGGUGGUUAUAGAUGGGCAUGCGGUCUAUUAGCUAGUUGGUAAGGUAACGGCUUACCAAGGCGACGAUAGAUAGGGGGUCUGAGAGGAUGAUCCCCCACACUGGUACUGAGACACGGACCAGACUCCUACGGGAGGCAGCAGUAGGGAAUAUUGGACAAUGGACGCAAGUCUGAUCCAGCCAUGCCGCGUGCAGGAAGACGGCCCUAUGGGUUGUAAACUGCUUUUAUAUAGGAAGAAACCUCACCACGCGUGGUGGGCUGACGGUACUAUAAGAAUAAGGACCGGCUAACUCCGUGCCAGCAGCCGCGGUAAUACGGAGGGUCCAAGCGUUGUCCGGAUUUAUUGGGUUUAAAGGGUACGUAGGCGGGACUUUAAGUCAGUGGUGAAAGCCUCCAGCUUAACUGGAGAAUUGCCAUUGAAACUGAAGUUCUUGAAUAUGGAUGAGGUGGUUGGAAUAUAACAUGUAGCGGUGAAAUGCUUAGAUAUGUUAUAGAACACCAAUUGCGAAGGCAGAUCACUAAACCAUUAUUGACGCUGAGGUACGAAAGCGUGGGGAGCGAACAGGAUUAGAUACCCUGGUAGUCCACGCCGUAAACGAUGUUCACUCGCUGUUGGCGAUAUACAGUCAGCGGCCAAGCGAAAGCAUUAAGUGAACCACCUGGGGAGUACGAUCGCAAGGUUGAAACUCAAAGGAAUUGACGGGGGCCCGCACAAGCGGUGGAGCAUGUGGAUUAAUUCGAUGAUACGCGAGGAACCUUACCAAGGCUUAAAUG
rnacentral:rRNA from 1 species